GAGGGUAUUGCUCAGUGGUAGAGUGUGUGCUUAGCAUGCGCGAGGUCCUGGGUUCAAUCCCCAGUACCUCCA
rnacentral:tRNA from 1 species